rnacentral:rRNA from 1 species
GACGACGCUGGCGGCGUGCCUAACACAUGCAAGUCGAGCGGAGAUGUACUGAAGAUUUAUCGGAUGUACAUCUUAGCGGCGGACGGGUGAGUAACGCGUGGGCAACCUGCCUUCCACUGGGGGAUAACACAGGGAAACCUGUGCUAAUACCGCAUGACAUCACAUAGGGCAUCCUGUGUGAUCAAAGGAGUGAUCCGGUGGAAGAUGGGCCCGCGUCCGAUUAGCUAGUUGGUGAGGUAACGGCUCACCAAGGCGACGAUCGGUAGCCGGACUGAGAGGUUGGCCGGCCACAUUGGGACUGAGACACGGCCCAGACUCCUACGGGAGGCAGCAGUGGGGAAUAUUGCGCAAUGGGGGGAACCCUGACGCAGCGACGCCGCGUGAAGGAAGAAGGCCUUCGGGUUGUAAACUUCUUUGAUGAGGGACGAAGGAAGUGACGGUACCUCAAAAACAAGCCACGGCUAACUACGUG